rnacentral:rRNA from 1 species
CAGGAAGCAGCUUGCUGCUUUGCUGACGAGUGGCGGACGGGUGAGUAAUGUCUGGGAAACUGCCUGAUGGAGGGGGAUAACUACUGGAAACGGUAGCUAAUACCGCAUAACGUCGCAAGACCAAAGAGGGGGACCUUCGGGCCUCUUGCCAUCGGAUGUGCCCAGAUGGGAUUAGCUAGUAGGUGGGGUAAAGGCUCACCUAGGCGACGAUCCCUAGCUGGUCUGAGAGGAUGACCAGCCACACUGGAACUGAGACACGGUCCAGACUCCUACGGGAGGCAGCAGUGGGGAAUAUUGCACAAUGGGCGCAAGCCUGAUGCAGCCAUGCCGCGUGUAUGAAGAAGGCCUUCGGGUUGUAAAGUACUUUCAGCGGGGAGGAAGGGAGUAAAGUUAAUACCUUUGCUCAUUGACGUUACCCGCAGAAGAAGCACCGGCUAACUCCGUGCCAGCAGCCGCGGUAAUACGGAGGGUGCAAGCGUUAAUCGGAAUUACUGGGCGUAAAGCGCACGCAGGCGGUUUGUUAAGUCAGAUGUGAAAUCCCCGGGCUCAACCUGGGAACUGCAUCUGAUACUGGCAAGCUUGAGUCUCGUAGAGGGGGGUAGAAUUCCAGGUGUAGCGGUGAAAUGCGUAGAGAUCUGGAG